AACGUAGGUCACAAGCGUUGUCCGGAAUUACUGGGUGUAAAGGGAGCGCAGGUGGGAAGACAAGUUGGAAGUGAAAUCCAUGGGCUCAACCCAUGAACUGCUUUCAAAACUGUUUUUCUUGAGUAGUGCAGAGGUAGGCGGAAUUCCCGGUGUAGCGGUGGAAUGCGUAGAUAUCGGGAGGAACACCAGUGGCGAAGGCGGCCUACUGGGCACCAACUGACGCUGAGGCUCGAAAGUGUGGGUAGCAAACAGG
rnacentral:rRNA from 1 species